rnacentral:tRNA from 1 species
GGAUUGUGGUUCAGCGGUAAAAUGCUUGCCUAGCAUGCGUGGGGCCCUGGGUUUGAUCCUCAGCACCA